GUAUCAAUGAUUGCUAUAAUAAUUGAUCUUAUUGAAAAAUCUGAACAAAAUGAGUUAGACAGUCACUUCGAUGAACCUAAGUUCC
rnacentral:snoRNA from 1 species